AUGGAGAAUCACCACAAGAAAAAUCUUGGUUCUCUCUCUCCUCUAAACUUCAUCUUCAUUCUCUUCUUCUUUGAGCCUCAACAACUUCAAUCUUUGUAUGCAUCAACACAAGGACUUAACGUUCAACAUCAUCAUCUUCUACUUCAUAUUCUCACCAUUCUCCAAUUUCUGAAGAAUCACACCAAGAAAACUUAA